rnacentral:rRNA from 1 species
CGCUGGCGGCGUGCUUAACACAUGCAAGUCGAACGAUGAACCUCCUUCGGGAGGGGAUUAGUGGCGAACGGGUGAGUAACACGUGGGCAAUCUGCCCUUCACUCUGGGACAAGCCCUGGAAACGGGGUCUAAUACCGGAUAUGACGCGCGACCGCAUGGUCUGUGCGUGGAAAGCUCCGGCGGUGAAGGAUGAGCCCGCGGCCUAUCAGCUUGUUGGUGGGGUAAUGGCCUACCAAGGCGACGACGGGUAGCCGGCCUGAGAGGGCGACCGGCCACACUGGGACUGAGACACGGCCCAGACUCCUACGGGAGGCAGCAGUGGGGAAUAUUGCACAAUGGGCGAAAGCCUGAUGCAGCGACGCCGCGUGAGGGAUGACGGCCUUCGGGUUGUAAACCUCUUUCAGCAGGGAAGAAGCGAGAGUGACGGUACCUGCAGAAGAAGCGCCGGCUAACUACGUGCCAGCAGCCGCGGUAAUACGUAGGGCGCAAGCGUUGUCCGGAAUUAUUGGGCGUAAAGAGCUCGUAGGCGGCUUGUCACGUCGGAUGUGAAAGCCCGGGGCUUAACCCCGGGUCUGCAUUCGAUACGGGCAGGCUAGAGUUCGGUAGGGGAGAUCGGAAUUCCUGGU